UGAUUUUCUGUAGCUAGGGUUUAAAGUUGUAGGUCAUGUAACGUUAACUUGCAUUCACAAAUGUAGCUAAUACACAGGCUGGUUUCAUUCAGUUUUCAAUGUUCAGUGUGUUGAAGUAAAAUGUCUUGUUCUGAAUUAUUUUGCCAACCUCUUAAGUCGUAAUGGUAGGCUAAAAGCUAGCAGUGAAGCUUCUUGAUUAGCCUACAACUUAACCUCAAGUUGUAUACUGCUAGCUAGCCAACAGUUAUCGAUGUGAAUGACCAACGUGCAGUCUCGCCCCUGGCACGUCAAAGGAAAAUACACCUGAAAAAAGGCAUGCGUUGUGAUUUGUGACAGAGUGUACCAGAAAUGAGUUGCACUUUACACCUCCUGGUUUCCCGCAGUAACUUCUACCAUGGCCGGUUUCUGCUCUUGUCUCGACAGUCCCUAUUGCCCAGAGCGCUCAGCUCCAAGCUCCAGAUCAGCCGCAGCCUGCAAGAGAGCUACAGGCUUCUGCAACUGCCUGACGAGGGACCCAACAGUCCUGCUCAGGUGAAAGAGGCCUACUUGCGCCUCGCCAAGCUCUACCACCCGGACUCUGGGGCUCCGACUGCAGAUGCAGUGCUGUUUGCUCGGGUUGAGGAGGCCUAUCGUGCUGUGCUGGCACAUCAGAGCAAGUCCAAGCAACCUGAUGAAGGGAAGGAAGCGGAAGAUGAGGAUAAGUCCAGAGGUACAGCAUUUCCGCACAGACACUACCUUAGUUACGAGGGUGUGGGUUCGGGCACGCCCAGCCAGCGUGAGCGUCAGUACCAGCAGAUUCGUAUCGAUCGGGCAUCCGAGCAGGUUUUGAACUACCGGCAGAGGGAGCACGAGAGGGCAGCCGCUGCAGAAGGGAUGCUGGUGGAACGGGACAUACGUCAGCGCAGCCGAAAGAUCAAGAUCACCCAGGCUGUGGAACGGCUUGUGGAGGACCUGAUCCAGGAGUCCAUGGCACGAGGAGACUUCAGGAAUCUGAGUGGCGCUGGAAAGCCCCUUAACAAGUUUGAGCACAAUCCAUACGCUGAUCCUAUGACCCACAACCUUAACCGCAUCCUCAUAGACAAUGGUUACCAGCCACCCUGGGUCGUCACCCAACGAGACAUCCGAGAGACCACUGCACAGAUCCGAAACAGGCUAUUGGAGGGGAGGGCAAGGCUCGGCGACCCCAUGACCCCCAAAGAGAGCAGCCAAUGGGAGCAACUGUGUACAUCUGUAGAGGAGGAGUUGGUGAAACUUAACAAGAGAGUGGACAGUUACAACCUCAUCGUACCGAUGCUCAACAUGCAAAUGGUCCACUUCAGUUUGUCACGAGAGAUUGACCGCGCUGUGAAGGGAGCCUGCCAACGCAGACUGGACCAGCAGAGAGAGAGAGAAAAGGAGAGAGAGAGGAGGAAGGAAGAGAGAAAAAGAGCCAACGCAGUAACUAUGCCUAAAAAUACCAAACAAGGCCUGAUGUAUUGGAUGAAGCACUGGCUCAGAUUAAAACACUAGAACUCUGAAUCUAAGAGAACAGAAACAUGAUUUGAUGAUAAGUGUUUAAUUAGUUUGCACUCAAACCAAUCAUUACAGUCCAAGGGGCAAUUAUUUCAGACAGACUUGGUCACCCGCUUUUUUCUAAACACUCUGAAUCAAAGUCAGGGACAAUGGUGCCAUGCAUUUAACUCUAUGUUACUACUUUUAUUGUCCAGAUAUGUAGGAUUGUCAUCAGGUUGUUAGUGGAAGAGCGGUGUUGAGCAAUCAUGGUUGCGUGACUGUAAAGUGUGAGAAACAGCACGUGUUGAUAACGAAGCUUACAACAAGAGGCAAUUUUAUGAUACAAAGUCAGGGGCGUAGCACAAAAUUCUGGGCCCUCUAGAAAGGCAUUUUCUAUGGGCCCUUCCCCGCAUCCAUAGCUAUUCAUUCUAGCAUCUUUUUGGGCCCUCCUCACAUGAGGGCCCUGGGUACUCAGUCCCCUUCCCCCCCCAGUCCGACGCCCCUGUACAAAGUGUUUCUGUGAAAUUACCGAUCUGAAAAUACAAACCCAGAUUUGUUUGCUGUGUGACAUUAAAAGUGAAGGUAAGUAAAAAAAAUCUUGUGUUACAGAGUUUUACAUUUUUGAACGUGGGAAAUGUUGAAAUAGCUGAAUGUCUCAUUCUAGUCUGGCAGCUGCUCCAGCGUUGCAGGGUUGCAGAUGACGAUGGGCUCUUUGCCGCCGGCUCCGGGACUUGCAGCUUCCCUGUGCAGAGCCUGAGCCACGGCCCUGGGCGGAGUUAUCGCCUUGGUCCAGUCGUGGGCAAUGUACUGGUGGUACGGAUCAUGAGAGCUCUCCAGCUUCUUGGAGCGAAUGUAGCUGAGCAUGAUACCGAAUGUGAAGAAGCUGAACAUGCCAACCACCAGGAUGAUAUACAUCAUGCCCUGAGACUGAGCGUGGGCCCGGGCUCCAGCCUGUGCAGCCGGCUGGGUAGUGUAGUUCUGAGGUAUCUGUGGAGACAGUAUACUGGUGCUGUUGAAGCAGUGCUGCAGGAAGGAGAGCAGGAGCGACUGCAGCUCGGUGGUGUUGAUGUGUGACAUUGCUGACCUCUGCUGGACGCUCGGCAAACUGCAACUGAGGAGGAAGAGGAGAUGUAAGAAAAAGAUUCAUGUCAAAUAAGAGGAGAAGGAGGCGCCGGUGUCGGGCUGCAGCAGGAGAACAAAGCUGCUUUCAGACUGGAGGAGAUGCAGCCCAGCAGGAAUCCUUCUCCUGCCACGGCUUCAGUCAGGGAGUCCACCUCCGCACAGCCGCCGUGGCACUGAGACACUGCAGAGGGACGGGAAGAAGAGCAGGAGGAAGAAGACACAGAAGUAGAAAAAAACAUGUAUUUUAUUUUUUUUUAAAAAGAAGCAGAGAGAAAAGGAGACAAAGAUGCAAGAGGGGAGAGAUAUAGGAAAGGAAGAACAUGCAAAUGUAUUAUCAUAGUGACAACUUUUCAUUUACCAUUUAGACUUUGUCUCACUUGAUAGGAAACAUGUCCAAAUUAGGAAUAGCAUCAGUAGCACCUUUCAUUAACAAAGCAAAGUGCUAAACAAGAUAUAAACAGGCAUUCAGAAUAAAAAAGAAACUGCAAUAUACUGUAUAGUAUAUAUAAAUAUAAUAUAAAUACUAGUUUUUAAAUGAUUUAUUAGCCACAAUAAUUAAAGACAUUUAAGAGAUAAGUUUUCUGUAAGACAAUAUGUCAUGUCUCUAAUAACAGCUUCCCCUUUUCUCUGAUUAAAUCUUCUAUGAUGUUGAA